GGAAGAUGGUAGCAAACAUUCAACUAAAAAUUGAAAGCACACAAACUAAAUGCAAGUUAGGCCUGACAAUAGCCAAUUAUUCAAAUUCUACUAAAUCUAGAUUUUCUUGUUGCCUUGAAAUUCACAAAACUGCUCUAUGAGCCCACAACAAGAAAAGUAGAAAACUGAUUAUUAACAACGCGUAAUUUACGGCGUACAUUCUUACAUUAAAUGCAGGCUCUGAAACUAAAGUUUUUAAGUAAAAAAACAAGGCGCAGUGUCUACUAGGGUAUAAAUUUUUAUUACGACGCGGUCUUUGGGUAAUCAAACCGCAGCAAAAUUUGGUCAAAAAGUUAAAUCUCCUUCUCAGUUCUUCCCUCACCCUUACCACCUCCUCUGCCUCCCGCCAAAAUCAAGUCAAUCUCCGUCUCCGAGGUCAUACUUCCUCAGCUCUCCAGCCUCUUGAUUGUCAAAUCCGCCUCCGCCAGUGUGCCAUCGGAGGCGGAGCUCCAGAAGUUCGGCGUCUCCGACGAACUCAGAUACUUCGUCAAGGGACUCACUUCCGAGUUUUUGAUUCGGAUCUUCAAAUGCGCACCGUUUCGAUCCAAUAGUUUGAUUCUAUAUCUGCAACCGGAGAGCGUCUCUCUCGCCAUCGACGAACCAGCUCACAAGCAAUUUGAAAGUGCAGAGAGUUUCAUCUGCGCCUGAAGAGUUGAGAUCUCAUCAUCGAUGAUUCAGCUCUCGCAGGAUCGGAAACACCAUACAAAUUCAAAGAGGUGUUAGGAAAGAUUUGACGGAGUGGCGGGAGCGACAUGCAUGCCACUUCGGUUCCCACUACUAAUAAGGAUUCAAUAUUGAGACCGUGGAAUACAAGAACAUCAGCUUCAGUCUGGGAUGUUGGGGGUCAGGACAAGUUAUGAAGUUGGUGAUUGUUAAAGAGCCACAUGGAGUUAUGAAAUGAAGUUUAAGAUCUGACCUUUGUGGAGGCACUACUUCCAGAACACAAAGGGUCUUAUCUUUGUUGUAGACAACAAUGACAGAGACCGUGUUAUUGAGGCAAAGGAUGAAUUGCACAGGAUGUUGAAUGAGUUUGUUCUCAUCUUGCGAGAGCACAUUUACUGACUUGUUUUUUUAUCCUUGCAAUAACUAGAUUCCAGCUCUGGUAUAUGAGGUUUGAGUUAUGAAGAGAUGAAAGACUUGUAAAUCAUAGAAAUGAAUGCAAGGUACAUCCAGAACACUUGUGCAACCUCUGGAGAGGGUCUAUAUGAAGGCCUAGAUUGGUUCUCCAACAACACUGCUAACAAGGCUUGAUCCCCAUUUGGAAGUGAUUUUGAGGAUUGGCAAUUCUGGAUGCAGGAAUGAAUGUUAUCUAGUUUGUUUUAGUGAACAUGUUGAAAGCUAGAAUGCAGUUUUAUCACUUUAUGUAGAUUAGGAUCAAUAGGCUUGUUAUUAUAUAAUAAUUGAAGUGAUUUAUUAACUUUCAGUGAAGUUUAUCUUUCUUCUA
rnacentral:lncRNA from 1 species